rnacentral:rRNA from 1 species
AACCUCUACAAUGCACGAAAGUGUGAUAGGGGGAUUCCACGUGCAAGCUUUGCUUGCUUUUCUCAUGUCUAAAUCGCUUGAGGAAUAAGGGCUGGGCAAGACCCGUGCCAGCCGCCGCGGUAACACGGGCAGCUCAAGUGGCGUUCGCGUAUAUUGGGCCUAAAGCGUGCGUAGCCUGUCAGGUAAGUUCUUGGUGAAAGCUUGCGACUUAAUCGUGAGAGUUGCCAGGAAUACUGCUUGACUUGGGACCGGAAGAGGUCGGAGGUAUUUCUUGGGUAGGGGUAAAAUCCUGUAAUCCUUGAAGGACCAUCGGUGGCGAAGGCGUCCGACUGGGACGGGUCCGACGGUGAGGCACGAAAGCUAGGGGAGCGACCCGGAUUAGAUACCCGGUUAGUCCUAGCCGUAAAUGAUGUCUGUUUGGUAUUGCGUGGCUUACGAGGCCCCGCAGUGCCGUAGGGAAGCCGUUAAACAGACCGCCUGGGAGUACGCCGCAAGGC